CCCUUAGAUGUCCUGGGCUGCACGCGCGCUACACUGAUGUGUCCAGUAAGCACCUAACCUCUUCCGAAAGGAACGGGUAACCUUUGCAAAGCACAUCGUGAUGGGGAUAGAUUAUUGCAAUUAUUAGUCUUGAACGAGGAAUUCCUAGUAAGCACAAGUCAUCAGCUUGUGUUGAUUACGUCCCUGCCCUUUGUACACACCGCCCGCCGCCCCUACCGAUUGAAUGUUCCGGUGAGCUCUUCGGACUGCGCGGUCUGCAGUUUCUGCGUUCCGUGCGGAAAGUUGCGCAAACCUUAACAUUUAGAGGAAGGAGAAGUCGUAACA
rnacentral:rRNA from 1 species